rnacentral:snRNA from 1 species
GUGCUUGCUUUGGCAGCACAUAUACUAAAAAUUGGAAUGAUACAGAGAAGAUCAGCAUGGCCCCUGCACAAGGAUGACACUCAAAUUUGUGAAGCAUUCCAUAUUUUU